CCUACGGGGUGCAGCAGUGGGGGAUAUUGCACAAUGGGGGGAACCCUGAUGCAGCGACGCCGCGUGGGUGAAGGUGCGUUUCGGCGCGUAAAGCCCUAUCGGCAGGGAACAAUAAGGACGGUACCUGACUAAGAAGCCCUGCCUAACUACGUGCCAGCAGCUGCGGUAAUACGUAGGGGGCCAGCGUUAGCAGGAUUUACUGGGUGUAACGGGGGCGCAGACGGCAGCGCAAGCCAGGCGUGAACGCCCGGGGCCCAACCCCGGGACUGCUCUUGAAACUGCGCGGCUGGAGUGCAGGAGGGGCAGGCGGAAGUCCUGGUGUAGCGGUGAAAUGCGUAGAUAUCAGGAGGAACACCGGUGGCGAAGGCGGCCGGCGGGACUGCGACUGACGUUGAGGCCCGAAAGCGUGGGGAGCAAACAGGAUUAGAUACCCCUGUAGUC
rnacentral:rRNA from 1 species